rnacentral:rRNA from 1 species
AGAGUUUGAUCCUGGCUCAGGACGAACGCUGGCGGCGUGCCUAAUACAUGCAAGUCGAACGGUAGCACAGAGAGCUUGCUCUCGGGUGACGAGUGGCGGACGGGUGAGUAAUGUCUGGGAAACUGCCCGAUGGAGGGGGAUAACUACUGGAAACGGUAGCUAAUACCGCAUAAUGUCGCAAGACCAAAGAGGGGGACCUUCGGGCCUCUUGCCAUCGGAUGUGCCCAGAUGGGAUUAGCUUGUAGGUGAGGUAACGGCUCACCUAGGCGACGAUCCAUAGCUGGUCUGAGAGGAUGAUCAGCCACAUUGGGACUGAGACACGGCCCAAACUCCUACGGGAGGCAGCAGUGGGGAAUAUUGGACAAUGGGCGCAAGCCUGAUCCAGCCAUGCCGCGUGAGUGAUGAAGGCCUUAGGGUUGUAAAGUACUUUCAGCGGGGAGGAAGGGAGUGAGGUUAAUAACCUUAUUCAUUGACGUUACCCGCAGAAGAAGCACCGGCUAACUCCGUGCCAGCCGCCGCGGUAAUAC